rnacentral:lncRNA from 1 species
ACAAAGCCAUUUACCAACGCCGUGUUGACACAGCAGAGCUCGGGACAGAGUCACAAAGGGCACUCGCAGCGGGCCCCUGCGGCACCCGGGGAGCCUGGGGAGCGCUGCGAGGGGGGCGAAGGGUCCCCGGCUUCGGUGCCACCAAGAAAGCCGCUCUCUGCCGUGCCCUCCGCGGGGAGAAGAGCGGGCACCGCGCUGCCCAGGGCUGCCCGGGGAGAUGCUCCCGCUGCGCCCGAGCCCGGCUGGUGCCGCUUUCCCGGGGAGCACGGAGGCCGCGCCAGCGCCGGGUGCCCGGCGGCUGAGCCCUACCCAGGGGGCUGGAGGCUCCGGAGCGGGCCCGGCCCGCGGGACGCCCCCGGGACCGGACACCCCUCGCCCAGGGGCUCAGCCCCGCCGGCACCGGGCGGCUCGGGGAGCUGCGGCUGCGGAGCGCCGGGGCUCGAGCAGCGGCCCCGGAGCCGAGCGGUCCCGGGCCGGGUCCAGAGCCACGCGUCGGGGCGCGCCGUGUCCGCCGGUGCCGUCCGGGAGCCCCGAGACCGCGGGGAUGGGCGCUCGCCUCCCUCCCUCCGCCCCCCCCCCCCCCCCGUACCUGUCGGGGCUGCUCUGGCGGCGGAUCCCGUGCGCAUCUCGGUGCUGGCGGGGGCCGGGACCGGGACCGGGACCGGUGCGCUCGGCCGCUCCGGCGAAAACUUUUGCCGGAGCCGCGACGACGGCGGCGGUGGCGGCUCGGGGGGGAGGGACCGGCGCGGGGGGAGGGACCGCGGGCGAGGAGCCGCUUCCCACCGCCCCGCUCCUCCCGCUGGCACGGGGAGGGGAUCGGGGGGGCGGCCCCGUGCCCCCGGACCGGGUGCUCGGCUCUGCCGCGAGGCUCCUCCAGCACCGGUGAGAGCGCCCGAGAGCUGCGAGCACCCGCGCCUGCCGCUGCCGUCGGUCUCCGGUGUCGGCUCCUCCGCUCCGCUCCGCCCCGGUGCCGACCACCCCGGGACCUGCCGGUGGAGCGGCGGGGCCGGGCGGGGGCAGCUGGGCGCGCACCGCCCCGGUGGGGGGGAGGGAUGGGGCCGCCCGUGCCUCCGCCGGUACAGCUCCCGCCGGGGGGUGCCCCGCGGAUGCUUCCCCGGCCCCAGCCGCGGUGGCCGGGCCCGCCGGUCCCCCCGGCUCCCCCGCGGUCCCAGCGGGUCCCUCGGCACCGCCCGGUGUCCCCGUCCCAGCUCUGGCAGGAGGCGAGGCCCCGCCGCCUCCCGGCUCCGGUGCCCGCUGCCGGCCGCUCCUGCCCGCGGGAGCGGGGCUGCUCCCCUCGGGGCCCGGCCGAGCCUCCGCCGGGCGGCCGGGAGCUGCCGCCACCCUCUCGUUCCGGCCGCCGCUGGCGGUGACGGGUCCGUGUUUGCCUCGCGCCGUCCUGCUGGAGCCCGGUCCGGUAACCACGGCCCGCAGCGCGGCCCCCCCGCAGCACCGGGGCCGGGGCCGGAGCCUGGCCGGGGCUCACCGCGCGUUUGCCUUCGGCUGCCCGCUGCGACCCCGCGCGGGGUCCCGGGGCCGCCUCGAGCCCCCCAGGCCCGGGGGGGGCUGUGCGGGGAGAGGACCGGGGCGGGCGGGGGGCACCGGGCGCCCCUCCGGGGGCCGAGCCCGGGGCAGGGGCCGGGCCGGGAGCGGCGGCAGGAGCGCAGAGUGCCGGCAGCCCCCGGCAGCCCCCGGCCCCCUCCCGCUUCGUGGUGCGCGGAGCGGGGCCGAGCACCGACGGGAGGCGGCCCCGGACUCCGCGACGGAGGCUCCGUGCCUCCGGCGGCGGGAGGGCACCGGGGGGGUUCCGCAGCUCGGGGCAUGGCCCCGCGGGGCAAAGCCCCCCUCCCGCCCGGCCUCUUGGAAGCGGUGCCGGGAGGAGCGGGGGCCCGGCUCGCCCCUCGCCCACCUGCCCGCGGCUCUCGCACGGAGCCAGGCACGGGAACAAAGCGGCGGCGCCAGCCGCAUCGUUAG